rnacentral:rRNA from 1 species
ACCCGUUGAUCCCGCGGGAAGUUGCUGCUAUUGGGGUUCGACUAAGCCAUGCAAGUACGGGUUUCUUUUAGAAAUACCGGCAGAUCGCUCAGUAACACGUCGAUAAUCUAACCUUGUACCUGGGAUAACCUUGGGAAACUGAGGGUAAUACCAGAUAGGGGAUUGGUAUCUGAAUAUCCUUUCCUUGAAACUAGGAUGAGUCGGCGGCGGAUUAGGUAGUUGGUGAGGUAAAGGCUCACCAAGCCGAAGAUCCGUAGGGGCCCUGAAAGGGGGAGCCCCGAGAAGGGCACUGAGAUACUGGCCCUAGCCCUACGGGGUGCAGCAGGCGCGAAACCUCUACAAUGCACUAACGUGUGAUAGGGGGACCCCAAGUGCUUCACACAAGUGAGGCUUUUGUUAAGUGUAAGUAGCUUGGCGAAUAAGUGGUGGGCAAGACUGGUGCCAGCCGCCGCGGUAACACCAGCGCCACGAGUGGCAACUACGAUUAUUGGGCCUAAAGCGUCCGUAGCCGGUUCAGCAAGUCUCUUGUGAAAUUGAUGUGCUCAACAUAUCAUCGUGCAGGAGAUACUACUGAACUUGGGACCGGGAGGGGUCAGAAGUAUUGUAGGGGGAACGGUAAAAUGUUAUAAUCCCUACGAGACUACCUGUGGCGAAGGCGUCCGACCAGAACGGAUCCGACGGUGAGGGACGAAAGCUAGGGGAGCGAAUCGGAUUAGAUACCCGAGUAGUCCUAGCUGUAAACGCUGCGAGCAAGAUGUUGCACAUUCUUCGGGAAUGUGCAGUAUCGAAGAGAAGUCGUUAAGCUCGCCGCCUGUGAAGUAUGGUCGCAAGGCUGAAACUUAAAGGAAUUGGCGGGGGAGCACUACAAGGGGUGCGGCGUGCGGUUUAAUCUAACUCAACGCAGAGAAUCUCACCAGAAGCGACGGCAGAAUGAAAGUCAGAUUAAAGGUUUUACUUGACGAGCCGAGAGGUAGUGCAUGGCCGCCGUCAGCUCGUUCCGUAAGGUGUCCUGUUAAGUCAGGCAACGAGCGAGAUCUGUACCUACAAUUGCCAGCAGGUCCAUUGGAUGACUGGGCACAUUGUAGGAACCGCCUCGGAAACGGGGAGGAAGGUGCAGGCUACGGUAGGUCUGUAUGCUCCCAAUCUUCUGGGCUACACGCGCGCAACAAUGGUAAGGACAAUGGGAUGCCACUCCGAAAGGAGAAGCUAAUCCUCGAAACUUUAUCUCAGUUCAGAUUGAGGAUUGUAACUCAUCCUCAUGACGCUGGAAUCCCUAGUAAUCGGGUGUUAUCAUCGCCCGGUGAAUAUGUCCCUGCUCCUUGCACACACUGCCCGUCAAAUCAACCGAGUUGGGCCUGGAUGAGAAUUAUCUUUUUGGAUAAGGCGAAUCUUGGCUCAGUGAGGUGGG